CACCACCGGCUCGCAGUAUUCAUCGAGACACAGAGGGAGGAGGUGCUGCCGGUCGUCUUUCUCACCUGACCGGUGCUGGUUUUUUGUUAAAUCAAUAAUGACGGAUCCAGUUGGUUGUUACUGUUGUGUUAAGGGCCAGUUUGCUGCCUCAGUGGUCGUCAGUACAGCAGCUCAUUUAUUGAGGAUGAUGACUUGAAGAUGGAGGAUGCAAGAAAUGAUAGUUUUCUUCUGGUGAACUCUCCCUGCACUGCACCAAAAAACGUCAGUAGGUUCUGGACCUUAUUAAGGAGAGGUGUGCACUCUGCUGUACCACUCAUCUUGUACUGCUGUACCAGGAUGGCAAGUGAUUCACAACACAACUAAAGGAAGCAAGUGCCAAGAUACAGCCCAGACCCAGCCUUCCACCCCUCCUCUCUACCUCAGAAAUGUUCUGAACACUGGAGUGCUGUGCUGCCCUAGGCUGUGCUUACUGGCCACUGCCCUGUACUUGCUGCUGCCCUAGACUUCCCUGUACUUGCUUGCUACUGCCCUGGACGGCUCUG